CUAGUUGGUAAGGUAACGGCUUACCAAGGCAACGAUGGGUAGGGGUCCUGAGAGGGAGAUCCCCCACACUGGUACUGAGACACGGACCAGACUCCUACGGGAGGCAGCAGUGAGGAAUAUUGGUCAAUGGGCGCAAGCCUGAACCAGCCAUGCCGCGUGCAGGAUGACGGUCCUAUGGAUUGUAAACUGCUUUUGUACGAGAAGAAACACUCCUUCGUGAAGGAGCUUGACGGUAUCGUAAGAAUAAGGAUCGGCUAACUCCGUGCCAGCAGCCGCGGUAAUACGGAGGAUCCAAGCGUUAUCCGGAAUCAUUGGGUUUAAAGGGUCCGUAGGCGGUUUUGUAAGUCAGUGGUGAAAGCCCAUCGCUCAACGGUGGAACGGCCAUUGAUACUGCAAGACUUGAAUUAUUAGAAGUAACUAGAAUAUGUAGUGUAGCGGUGAAAUGCUUAGAUAUUACAUGGAAUACCAAUUGCGAAAGCAGGUUACUACUAAUAUAUUGACGCUGAUGGACGAAAGCGUGGGGGAG
rnacentral:rRNA from 1 species